CGCGCCAAAAACUGUUGAUGGAUCGAGAAUACUGAGAGUCCCACCGGUAGGGUUUAAUGUGAAGCUAGGAGAAUUUCCAUAUAUAUUUAUUGGAGGGAAAAAAUUCAGCAUUUGGAACUUUUUUUUUUCACUCCAAUUUUUUUUAAUUUUCAUUUUUUAUUAAUAUAAAUGCUGAUGUGUCUUAUUAAUCAUCCUAAAUAUCAAUUUCCAUAUCAUUAUAUCAUAAUUUACAAAAACAUAAAAACUUAACCUAAAUAUAAUAUUUUAAAACAAAACCUAAAAUCUGUGACUUAUCUCUCAAAUCCCUCAUUGUCUCCUCACUUAGCUCCCUUGUCCGAACACUAGCCUCAUCACUCAUUCACUCACAUCUCUUAAUUUCUCAAACCCAGACGUUUUUGUUCUCCCUCGAACUAGCGCUCUUGUUCUCCUUCGAACCCAGGAGAUGGCGCUUUCAUUCUUCCUCGAACCCAUGUGUUGUUCUUCGUUCUUCUUUGAACCCAGGUGCAGGCCUAAACACCUCAGCUUCGAUCUUGAACCCAAAAUGCCGUCGUUGUCUUCUAAGCCACCGCCAUCCUUGGGUCUAAUUUCUGACUUUUGUAUUAUGUGUAGAACAAGGAAUUUUGGAGCAGAUCGAGUCUUAAGGGGCAGCUUGGAGAAUCAUCUUUUUCUGAGUAUGUUACUUUGCUUUUUCUAUAUAAUUAGUAAGAGUAUCUCAAAAUACUUAUAGUGUAGAAACUAUUGAAACAAAAUGAAUUGAAAGUUGAUGGAAUUAGUAAUGUGAUUGAAGAAAAAGAACCUUUUUUCACAACUCAUUUUCUUUCAUGGUUGUUUUCAUUGAUUAAAAUGUACUGUACAAUUAUUUCAGAUUUGAAAUUCAUAGAUUUUAAGUUGUAAUUAUAGAAAUGUGAGUUGUACAAUCAUGAUUUUGUGGUUAUUCCAAAUCUAAAAGGUGAGUGACUAAAGCAAACUAUUAAUUGGAAUAUUCAUAGCAUGUAGUACCUAUUUUAAUCUCUAUAUGGCUAUUGAGUGUCUUUUGUCUUUGUGUUAGGGAGUUUUCCCUCUUUGUGCCUCUGCCACUGUUGGGAGUUUCCUCUGUUUGUGCCUUUUUCACAGUGAACUCGCCUCUCUCACAGUGCAACUGUUAUAUAAGCAAAUAUAUUAUAUAUUUGCAAACUUUGUGGUUUCAUAUCCUCUUUUGUUUUUUGGCAGUAAGUAUCUCCAGUUAAUAAUCUUAAUCGUGGUUGGGGAUGUGCCUUGGGACAUGAAGAUAUCAUCCCUUCACUGGCAUUUGACAAUUUUAGUGAGGCUAAAGUUUCUUCCCUUUAUAUUUAUAUGUGAUUGAUAGUGGCGUGGGCUUUAUACCAUAUAUUUCUUAGUUUGAAAACAUGGAUUGGGUGCUAAUACUCUAUCUUCAUUCAAAUAAUGACAUUUUGAAUGCUGCAAAGAAUUUUAGGUUUAUAGUUGUAUUUUUUUUAUAAUUAUUGCUUUCAAGUGUUUUGUUUCUUAAUUUAAGGAAACAAGAUGAUGGUUUAAAAAGGAAAGGUUUUACUUUUACUUGUUUACUAAACUAAUUCACUCUAUGAAAAAAAAAUCAUAAGUGUAAACUAUUAAAUUAAGUUGUCUAUACUUUUCAUAAUCCAAUGUGUCUACCUAGUUGUGGUUUUGAAAAUUAUAUAGAUUUAGUUUGUAAGCAAGUACUUUAUGGUGAAAAGCUUGUGAAUUAUGAAUAUUUUUAUUUAGAUUAUUGAUGCGUUAGGGUUACCAUACAUAAACUUGUUGGGAUACACAGAGAUUGCAGAACAAGCCAAGCGCCGGGCUGAGGUGGCAAGGUGAGCAAGUGCAGCUUUCUAAUUUUUUUUUCUUUUUACCAUUGAUUGUUUUUAUACUUGGGUGGCUCGUAUGAAUGGAAUCUAUUUAUAUAUAUAUAUAUGUAUGUAUAUAAAUGAGGUUUUAUUUUUUCAAUUAUAUUUUUUUAUUGCUCUAAAUUUUUGCUGAAUUUCUGUAAAAAAAUUUCUUUUCCCAUCUGAUUAUCCCAGUCCAGUCCACCUUCUUCAGUCAUUAAUAUGUAACUAUUGGUAAAUGCUCUACAGGUAUUUGAUAAAAUAAUUCUAAGAAAAAAUAGAAUCUACAAUGCUUUGUUUUAUUCUUUAUAAGCCUUAAAGUCUUCCAGAUUGUUUUGAUAACCAAAGAAUCAACUUGGUUCUUAAAUUGGAUGUAUUGUUUCUACACCUUAUAGAAUCUAUUUUGGUAGCUAGGUUGUACUACUCUAGACCAAUUAUAUGCGGGAACAACAAUUAGACAUCUAUUCAUGAUAUUCCUUUUAUUAUUCAUCCUCAUUACUGUUUACAAGGUUUAUCUUCGAUUCCCAUUUAUCUUAUCAUAUAUUUUUUUUAAAAGAAAAAUUAAAUCAGUACUUGCAUCAUGGAAUCAUUUUCUUAAGCUUUGCUAAAUUUGAUAUCUAAGCCUGGCAUGAUGAGCAUUAGCAAAGGAAAAGUUCCAAUAACUCUUAUUGAUCUUGAUUUUGUUGAAACUUUUUUAGAGUUAUCAGUAUUUUUUUUUUGAAGUAUAUAAUCACAGGUGAAAAUAAUUAGAGGUGCAAUCUCGGUAGAAUGUAAGAAUGAGCAAUAAGAAUGUAUGCUACUUCAUGGAAACUUGGAGUAAGCUUAUUACUUUUUAUUUCUAUUUUUAUUUUGCUCUUUAUUUUUAUUCAUAGUUAUUGGUUCAGUGCCUUGGGCCAUAAACAGAUGAACUCUAUGUUGUGGUAGCUUUUACUUCAUUUGUUUUUCAGGUAGUCUGGUUUAAGGGUGCUUUGUUAAUAAGCCUUCUCAGUUUUUUCCAGGUAGUUAGGUUUAGGUAGUCUGGUUUUCUAGUUUUUUCCAGCUUGGUUUCAGUUUAUUGUCUUGCCAGUUUUCUAGUUUUUUAGCUUGGUUUUAGGUUCAGGCAAGGCUUGGUGUACUUGUCAUCACCUUUCAGUUCACAAGGCUACAAUCUUGGAUUUGAUAGGGUAAGAGCUCUGUUUUAGUUUAAUGGGAUUGUUGUUACUAGGAAAAUGCAUAAAUUAAAGGCAAUGAUAAAAUUAAGGCAAGGGUUUAUCUUUUUUCUUCAUAAUUUGAAAUUAGAAAGCUUUUAUGUUAAUUACUCUGCUGUUAGAGAUCAUAUGUUGCUAGAGUUUCUUGGCCAAAAUUUAUUGUUCAAAACUGUUUUAUAAAAUAGAUUCAAAGAACUUUUUUUCUUGUUUUGAUGCAUUUAUAACAAAUGAAUACUUUGUUCCGUGGCUAUGUAUUGCAAUUGAUAUUGUUCUCAGUUUUUUGUUUUGUAUGCAAAUGUUGAUGAUUAUUUAUUUUAUUAGUACUUUAAUAGUAUUCUCUCUAGUAUUCUCAUAUUGUAAAACCUGUAGCUAUUUAAUUUUUUUUUUUCAAUUCUAUUCUCAUAAUUAUAUAUAUACAAACUAAGGGUAUUAAUUGACGUUUACAAUAUAUAUAUAUAUAUAUAUAUAUAUAUAUAUGAGUCGCCACUUUUGUUGCCAACCAACAAGAUAAUUUGCUUCUGCGUAUAACUUUUUUUUAACAAUCUGCUAAGAUAAAUUAUGAGCAAUUUGUAACAGGUAUUUAAUGGCUGGCUCUUACUAUUAUUGCUAUUUUCUUUAAAAAUGUUUUUAACUAGACUUCAAAUUAAGAAAAUAUGAUAUUUGUGAUCUUUGUCUUUCUGCAAUCUUUAGUUUUAUAUGUUAGCAUGCCAGUAUGUGGAUAUGGUGAUUGUUGGUGCUCCAUUUCUAGAGACAUGGAGAGUUGUUUGUUAUUAGUAUUAAAAUUGUUUCUUUAGUUGUGUAUUUGGCCUCGUUCUUUUGUCAGAGCAAGCUUUCGGCUAUUGCAAGGUACUAAUUCUUUUCUUCAUUAAUAAUUUUAUAUAUUUCAUUUUACAGUUCCCAAAGUUUGUAUUUGUCACCAUGGUUAAUUUUGCAAGGACGUAGAAUCUACAUUGUAGAUAGUAUAAUAUUUUGAUGUUAUAUAUGUUUGGAAUCUGAUCACUCCUCUCUCAUUAAGUUAGUUUCAUGGGCUUGUACACAUAUGACUUAAAUAGUUUAAUCUUCUUGUAAAGGUUAUUGGAAAUGCUGGUUGUAGUUUGUGAUAAUAGUUAAGAUUUUUUUUUUAUUCACACACGCCAGGUUCAGGCAGUGCUUGCCGAAGCAUAUAUGGUGGAAUUGUGAAGUUGAUCAUGGGAAAAUGUUGCAGUUCAGCUAGUAGAUGAUAAACAUUGGGAUGAUCUAGUCAUAAUCGUUCCAGUGGUAAGUUCACCUCAUGAAUGUGUGAGGCUGUUGAAACAAGUUUGCUUUUACAGCAUAAGGCAAAGGAAGUAGUACCAGUUCUUACUUUGGAAAGACUAUUGGUAAUGAGGGUGAGUACAAGGACAAGAAGAAAUAUAUGUUAUUGGACAAUGAAUUUAGUGUUUUAUUUUAUUUGUAAUUUUCAUUAAAGUAAAUGAUUCUUUGUAAAUACUUUGUCUAAUUUUUGUUAUUUUAAUCUAUAAUUUUUUAGAUUUGUAUACAAAUGUUUCAUUUAAAUCAUAAUUUUUAAUUUAAAGUAAAAUUAAAUAA